ACACAAUAUUUACUUUUUAUUUUAUUGUCUUUUUUUUAUUCAGUGAUCUUUGAUGAUGAAUUGAUAAAGAUUUGAGAUGGUAAAUGUAUUUUUAUUUGUCUUUUUUAUGGUUAUCUUGCUCUCAGUAAAACAUCUUGAUAUUAGAACGAUGCUCAAUUUCACAAAAAAAAAAUAAUUUGUUGUUUGUAAGAAAUUGAAAAUGAAAAGAUCAAAAUUAAAACAAAUAAAAAACCAAUUUUUUUUUUUUUUUAAAUGUGGUGUCAACUUUGCCUGUUUGUUUUUUGCUUUUGAUCACUUACUUUUUUGAAAGAAAAAAAAUUGAUCUUUCAAUGCUGUGUUAAUUGGAAUUUGAAGUUGGUAAUUUUAAAUGAGCAUCUAGAACUAAUUAAAAAGCCGCACCAUUGGUUUGGUGCUCGACUUUACUAAAAAGAAAUCAAUUAUAUUGUUUGAGAAGAAAUAAAAAUAAAAAGACCAAAAUUGAAACAUGAAAAAAAUAUAAAAAUAGAAGGCCUUAAAAAAAACAAAUUGUGUCAUCGCCUCCAUGCCCUGUAAUUUGAUAAAUUUUCUUUUUGGCCCUGUUAGUUUAGAAAUAAUGCAUUAUGCAUUAGAAACAGAACAUCAAACAAAGAGUUCAGCAUCAAGGAGAACGCAUGAAAGUCCACACAUUAAACCAAAAGAAACACAAAUGGGCAAGCAAACAUACGCCCUUACUUCUGGAUGCUUGUACAAUAAUGGGCUA
rnacentral:lncRNA from 1 species